UACAGAGGUCCCAAGCGUUGUUCGGAUUCACUGGGCGUAAAGGGUGCGUAGGUGGUUGGGUAAGUUUGAUGUGAAAGCUCCGAGCUUAACUCGGAAAUUGCAUUGAAUACUAUCUGGCUAGAGGGUUGGAGGGGACUGGAAUUCUCGGUGUAGCAGUGAAAUGCGUAGAUAUCGAGAGGAACACCAGUGGCGAAGGCGAGUCCCCUGGACAACUCCUGACACUGAGGCACGAAAGCUAGGGGAGCAAAACAGG
rnacentral:rRNA from 1 species